AUUACACACAUGGGGGUUAAUUCUCUCAUUUGGUCAAAAAAGAGCAGCUUUGUUAAGCCAGGGUGGAGUAAUGUGGGUGGAUUAGCGGCUGUAGCAAGUCAGUCUUAUUCUUCUUUAGUGAAGAUUAUUAUCAUGAGGAUCACUAAGCGAUUUGUGAAGCUCUCAGCCUUCCAAAAGACGGAGUUGCAGUUCUGGCAAUGUAUCAGGGAAAUACCAUGGAAGUAGACUUCUACAUGAGCUCUGCCAUAAGGGUUAGCUUCAGACCGGAUGGAGUCAGUUUGCCCUGAUGAAUGAUUGGAUACAUGACUCGAUGUACUGAUGUUGUUCCACAAGACAAAGGCACUGUCACAAUAUCAUUCUAUGUGCUGUAGGUGUGAAGCUGUGUGGUGGGUGGGUGCCCAUUGAUUCUCGGUAUUUUGGGAAGUUGCCAUGUGUGUGUUCGCGCAGUAAAUUGUAUCUGACGACGUUCUACUGAAUUUUUAUGUUAUAUGCUUCGCACGUUGAGCUUGUCGAGCCAUUCUAUCAAACUUGUAGUAUUCUGGGUUUGGUCAUUCCAAUGCGAACUCGCUGGACUAAGUUGGAUGCAAGUUUGUUCAAAA